rnacentral:rRNA from 1 species
AUUGAACGCUGGCGGCAGGCCUAACACAUGCAAGUCGAGCGAGCGGCGGACGGGUGAGUAAUGUCUGGGGAUCUGCCCGAUGGAGGGGGAUAACUACUGGAAACGGUGGCUAAUACCGCAUACUAUCAGAUGUGCCCAUAUGGGAUUAGCUAGUAGGUGGGGUAAAGGCUCACCUAGGCGACGAUCUCUAGCUGGUCUGAGAGGAUGACUAGCCACACUGGAACGAAGACACGGCCCAGACUCCUACGGGAGGCAGCAGUGGGGAAUAUUGCACAAUGGGCGCAAGCCUGAUGCAGCCAUGCCGCGUGUAUGAAGAAGGCCUUAGGGUUGUAAAGUACUUUCAGCGAGGAGGCGUUACCCGCAGAAUAAGCAACGGCUAACUCCGUGCCAGCAGCCGCGGUAAUAC